UGGGGAAUUUUGGACAAUGGGCGCAAGCCUGAUCCAGCAAUGCCGCGUGCAGGAUGAAGGCCUUCGGGUUGUAAACUGCUUUUGUACGGAACGAAAAAGCUCUCUCUAAUACAGGGGGUGAAUGACGGUACCGUAAGAAUAAGCACCGGCUAACUACGUGCCAGCAGCCGCGGUAAUACGACGGGGGCUAGCGUUGCUCGUAAUUACUGGGCGUAAAGCGCACGUAGGCGGACUCUUAAGUCGGUGGUGAAAUCCUGGAGCUCAACUCCAGAACUGCCUUCGAUACUGGGAGUCUUGAGUUCGGGAGAGGUGAGUGGAACUGCGAGUGUAGAGGUGAAAUUCGUAGAUAUUCGCAAGAACACCAGUGGCGAAGGCGGCUCACUGGCCCGAUACUGACGCUGAGGUGCGAAAGCGUGGGGAGCAAACA
rnacentral:rRNA from 1 species